rnacentral:lncRNA from 1 species
CUAGCUGGACGUGAUCAAUCCUGGGCCCAUUGUGUAUGGCCUGGGCAGAGCUUCCUCUCUGUGUUCUUCCUCUUCUUAUGGCUCUGGAUGAUUUCUUCAGUUUGCCUCUGGCUUGUUCCUGUCAUUGUUAGCAAAAACGUUGUUUCCCCCUCUGUCUUUUCUGCCUCUUGCAGGUGGAGGGAAUGGAUUCGGAUCCAUCCUUCUGGGUCUAUAGGGCAACACAGCUGGUGGUUCAGGCACAAGUGCCAAAGGUUGAUCAUGUGGGGCCACAGGUUGUGCAAUAGGCUGAGGUUUUGGUUGAUUCUGUUGGAUCUGAACUGGUGUAGCCUUGUGGUCGAACUGGGGCCUCAUGUUCUUGGACGGGAAGGGCUCCUCCCCUCUGUCCAGCCUGGAUCUCUCCAUGCCCUAGUAUUCCAGCUAUUUGUGCUAUGAAAGGGAUCUCCUGGUAUGGCCAUGCUAAUCCUGGUGGAGGGCCAUAAGGAAGGUCUAGUUGCUGGACUACAACAUCCGGAUUUGGAAUUCUGGUCAUGGCAGCCUCACGGUCC